AUGGCUCAGCAGUAUGAGUACUCAGGGUUUGAGCGUCAUGAGUCGGUGCCUGAAUUGCCGGAGGAUGAACGUAUUAUAUAUAAUCUUCCAGUAGCAAAGAAGCAUAGGAAGGGACCGAGGAAAGGCAACAAAGUUGCUUCUAUGAUCCAGCCGCCUCAGCAGCCUCGGGUUCAAGAUCGUAUAGCUAUCCUCGGUGCGGCAAAAUGCCAUAUCCCCGGUCAUCCGAUCCUACCUAAGGCAGCGGUAGAGGCCAUAUAUGGUGAUCUAAGGAGACUUCAUGAUGAUGUGCUGCGGAGAGAGAAAAGCCUAAUCGCCUCAGAAAAUCCAGGAUACCCAUUGUACGUGGUUAACGUGCCACGGCAAAGGUUUUACGUCGACAUAUUCCCCGCGGAAAAUUUCUUCCUUCGAUUCGAUUACAUCUUCGACACAUUUCACUUGAAAAAGCUGGAUUUUACGUUUGUCCGCCUUUUUGCCUUGUACAUGAACUACAUUAUCGGGAUUGAGCAGAUACCUUAUAUCUGUGUCGCUGACCCGUACUUCAUGCACGAGGGCUUCUUGGCAGUCUGCCCAGAGCACCGUGAGGGACUACAUCGCGAUUUCAUGGUCGCCAAUAAGGACAAGGAGACGAUUCUCGUGCCUUAUCAUCCCAUCCACGGGAGCGCCGUCCUCAUCAUCCUUUACCCCCGAUUCUCCCACGCUCUUUGCUUGGAUUCGUCGAAGAACAUGAACAAAAGGAUUACACCCACAUCAAGUUUGUUCUUGACAGUGCUAUCUUUAUCUACGGCGUACGGGGUGGAGAGAUCAAGACCAGGAAGACAAGGAACCGCAGGUCCGCCUUCGGCCAUAAUACCGACUUCUGCUGCAUCCAGCAACCGAGUGGUACUCUUAGUGAUGGAUUCUAUGUCCUACACCACAUGCUGGAGUACAGACAGGAUUAGCAGAACCUUCGCAUGUCACCUACAUCCGGUGAUGCCCAUAUUCUGCAAUGGGUAA
rnacentral:rRNA from 1 species